rnacentral:rRNA from 1 species
AUUGAACGCUGGCGGCAUGCUUUACACAUGCAAGUCGAACGGCAGCGCGGGCUUCGGCCUGGCGGCGAGUGGCGAACGGGUGUGUAAUGCAUCGGAACGUGCCCCGUAGUGGGGGAUAGCCCGGCGAAAGCCGGAUUAAUACCGCAUACGACCUGAGGGUGCAAGCGGGGGACCGAAAGGCCUCGCGCUCUUGGAGCGGCCGAUGUCGGAUUAGCUAGUUGGUGGGGUAAAGGCUUACCAAGGCGACGAUCCGUAGCUGGUCUGAGAGGACGACCAGCCACACUGGGACUGAGACACGGCCCAGACUCCUACGGGAGGCAGCAGUGGGGAAUUUUGGACAAUGGGGGCAACCCUGAUCCAGCCAUGCCGCGUGCGGGAAGAAGGCCUUCGGGUUGUAAACCGCUUUUGUGCGGGAAGAAAUCCUCUGGGCUAAUACCCCGGGGGGAUGACGGUACCGGAAGAAUAAGCACCGGCUAACUACGUG